AACCUGCCCAAGAGAUCGGGAUAACACCUGGAAACAGAUGCUAAUACCGGAUAACAAUAGAUGAUGCCUAUCAACUGUUUAAAAGAUGGUUCUGCUAUCACUCUUGGAUGGACCUGCGGUGCAUUAGCUAGUUGGUAGGGUAACGGCCUACCAAGGCGAUGAUGCAUAGCCGAGUUGAGAGACUGAUCGGCCACAUUGGGACUGAGACACGGCCCAAACUCCUACGGGAGGCAGCAGU
rnacentral:rRNA from 1 species